GACGAACGCUGGCGGCGUGCUUAACACAUGCAAGUCGAACGGAAAGGCCCUGCUUUUGUGGUGUGCUCGAGUUGCGAACGGGUGAGUAACACGUGAGUAACCUGCCCUUGACUUUGGGAUAACUUCAGGAAACUGGGGCUAAUACCGGAUAGGAGCUCCUGCUGCAUGGUGGGGGUUGGAAAGUUUCGGCGGUUGGGGAUGGACUCGCGGCUUAUCAGCUUGUUGGUGGGGUAGUGGCUUACCAAGGCUUUGACGGGUAGCCGGCCUGAUAGGGGGACCGGCCACAUGGGGACUGAGAUACGGCCCAGACUCCUACGGGAGGCAGCAGUGGGGAAUAUUGCACAAUGGGCGGAAGCCUGAGGCAGCAACGCCGCGUGCGGGAUGACGGACUUCGGGUUGUAAACCGCUUUCGCCUGUGACGAAGCGUGAGUGACGGUAAUGGGUAAAGAAGCACCGGCUAACUACGUG
rnacentral:rRNA from 1 species